rfam:Drosophila virilis strain TSC#15010-1051.87 Ctg01_17350, whole genome shotgun sequence.
GUGCCAAAACAUUAUGAGUAAGGAAAACCAAUAGGCCUUGCUAAUCGCUUGGCAGUUUGGCUUCUAGGCAGAGGGACAACCGUUCCUUGAAGCUCAAUUUUUGCUAGGGCACAGGUCGUCCCCGGCGCAAAUGCGUAGCGGCGGACCGGCGCCUACUUUGUGUCCGGUUUGCUGCUGUGGCAU